rnacentral:rRNA from 1 species
GUCAAGUCCUCAUGCCCCUUACGUCCAGGGCUGCACACAUGCUACAAUGGCCGGUACAGUGGGCUGCAAUCCCGCGAGGGGGAGCUAAUCCCAAAAAGCCGGUCUCAGUUCGGAUCGCAGUCUGCAACUCGACUGCGUGAAGUCGGAGUCGCUAGUAAUCGCAGAUCAGCAAUGCUGCGGUGAAUACGUUCCCGGGCCUU